rnacentral:misc_RNA from 1 species
UCCUCGUUUAAGCGAGGCAGUCUGUCCAGAGUGCUCUUUACUCUCGUAAAGGUGGCAACAGGACACAAGGGUUGCGCUCGUUGCGGGACUUAACCCAACAUCUCACGACACGAGCUGACGACAGCCAUGCAGCACCUGUGUAAGCUGGUAUUGCUACCUCGUUACUCUUUCAAGCUUCUACUACCUACAUGUCAAGGCCAGGUAAGGUUCUUCGCGUUGCAUCGAAUUAAGCCAUAUGCUCCACCGCUUGUGCGGCCCCCCGCCAAUUCCUUUGAGUUUUAAGCUUGCGCUCGUAGUUCCCAGGCGGAUCACUUAAUGCGUUAGCUUCGCUACCGAGCCGGUCGAUAGGCCCAACAGCUAGCAUUCAUCGUUUACAGCUAGGACUAC